AGUGACUGGGCUGAAAUCAAGGGCAUGAAUGGGGCACUGGGUUGAAGGGGUGAGUGCAGGGUGAGGCGUGGAGUCAGAGCAAGGGGAGAGAGAGGGAGAAGUUGGCUGAGGCUAGUCACUCCGGUCCUAAGAAGCCAGGCCCCCGGGUCCCAACCUGCAGCCUGCAGCGCCCACCCCCACGUGACCGCCGGGCUCCUACAUUUCCCCAUUCAGCUGAUGCCUGAACCCCCACUGGGGACCCUCAGCUCAUGAAGCAAAUCCCAACCUGGCACACCUGGAACUCGGAUUGAAAUGGAAACUUCGUUGGGGACGUUCGGCCUUGGAGCCGUCGGGGAGAAAGGCUGAGGCUUCUCUCAGGCUUCAGUCCAGUCUCUGCUCCGAGGUGCUGACAGGCAGGAGGCCCCUGGGGAACCCGGCCGUCACAUUUUUCCCAGAGGCCCAGGCCUGGCCCUCAGACCCCAGCCAAAGACGCCGCUUUGCUCUCGUCUGUUAAAAGACCCUUUCUUUAUUAAUUUCUUCCAACUGUGUGAAAUGCAAACAGGACAUGAAGCAUCCAUCAUUCCAAUCCUGUCAAGUUACCAGUUCUGGGAAGCAGAGGUCAGGACCAGGGCUGGGGGCUCGUGUUGCCGUGGGGAGCCUUUCCAUCCGGAGGCAAAGAAGUGGGAGAGACGCGUGUGCCUGCCCAGAAAACCCAGGGGCAGCGACAAUGACGAGCCCACGGCAGGGCCCAGGAGGCUGAGCUGGAGUCGGGCCUGGGCCGCCUUGUUGGAAAGCCGAAGGGGCCGGAGGGAGAGUUCAUGGUGUGGAGACGGGAGGGCGCCGGCAACAGAGGAGGCCGGCCUGCUUGUUUCUACACUUGCAGAAAAGCCGGCCAAGUUGCUCUCAGCCGCACGGCAGGCACAGACAGAAGAGGGCGAGACAUCAGAACUCAGGAAACAGGCUCCGACUGCAGCUUGAAGGGCUGGGUUAGAGAUGUGCUUGCCGUAAAUAGUUACUCCAAAUUAUCCGAAGAACAGUCACCGCUUGUCCCAGCGUUGACCUACGUGUCGUCUCCCAGGGCUGGUGGUGGCUGCCCCCUUCAUGGGUAGGGCUUCAGCACCGCGGAGGACUGGCCCACGCGGUCCCUUCCCGCCGGCUCAUUACCAUCUGCUCAGGGUGACCUUGUGGCUGACUCCGAGGGAGGGGAAGGAACGAGCGGGGACAGCCUGGGCACUACCUGGCACUGAACUUGAUCGUGGUACCGCAGGGCCCAGGACGGGUAUGGGGAAAUGGAAGCCCACCCUCCUGCCCCGCCCUGGGGGCGGCUGCCCCUGCCUGAGCCACUCCGUGUGUGGCCGUCCCGUGGACGUCACCUUGGAGCCGACGAGCUGAUGCGUCUAAUUAAGUCCUGCUCUCCAGCUGACAAGUAGCAGCCCCUCUGCAGAGGAGAUCGGGGCCUCCCAAGUGCUUCCCUCUGGCAGGGCUAAAUACUAAUGAGCUCCCUUUACUCUGUGAUUAUUCAGGGUCGCUGACGGCACCACAUCCCAAAGUGAGAGGUCAGUGCCAGGAGAUACGAAACAGUGUGUAAACUGUAGUGCGCUGCCCGCUGACCCCAAACUGUGGGAGGGAUUGUCAUCGCUGUGGGAAGGGGCCCCUUUGUUACCAGGUGUGCCUCUGACCUGCGCCUGCGGGCUGCCGACCCACGUGGAGUUUCCGGCUGGAAGGGAAGGGACGCAGUCUGCCAGGCCAGGAAGCUCAGGAGAGAGGCUCCCUUUGAAGCUGAGUCACAGAUGGUUCAGACACGACACACCUGAGCAGAGGUCGGCGUCCUUCAGGUGGUCACGGCUGAACAGACAUCCACAGGGAACCCAGGAUGCGCCGGGCGUCCUGCUGGCCCUGGAGGUGGAGCAGGGGUGAGAGACACAGCCUGCUGUGUGUGCGGGUCUAGACUGGACCCGGGAGUUCAUGUCAGAAAACUGCCCCUAUGAGUGAGUGUGUGUGCGCGUGUGCAUUUUGCACAUCGGGGGCAGUCCCUACACUGACGGAGAGUGAGGGAACUAGCACACGGCAAUGAUGAAAGAUCUGUUUUUAAACGACUCCCCUUCUUGGCACACGGGGUUCACGCGGCAUCAGCUCAUCGACUGAGAUGCCCGCUGGACGCCCUUGGCUCUGGUUUCCUUCAAGAGGUGACUGAGGUGAAAGUGCCAGCGUGAAGCCCAGGGCGUCUAGUGUGGCAGGCGGAGAGUGCGUCCCAGCGUCCUGAUUAGCCCUCAGUAAUGGAGGAGCGGGUCUGUAAUUAUGACGUGAGGUCAUCUUAAUUAGAAUGACAUAAAGUAAUGUCUAAUUAGGCAUUA